ACGCUCGACACCUACGUGAGGCAGCAGUCGGGAAUAUUGCGCAAUGGAGGAAACUCUGACGCAGUGACGCCGCGUGCAGGAAGAAGGUUUUCGGAUUGUAAACUGCUUUAGACAGGGAAGAAAAAGGACAGUACCUGUAGAAUAAGCUCCGGCUAACUACGUGCAAGCAGCCGCGGUAAUCUGAGCGGGCUGGCAAGGC
rnacentral:rRNA from 1 species